CACAGUGUAGCACAGUGGGUAAGGAACUGGGCUUGUAACCGAAAGGUCACAGGUUCGAUUCCUGGAGAGGACA
rnacentral:tRNA from 1 species